GCAAAAUUUAAACUCUCUCUCUGUGUCUUUUAUUCACGGAUUUCGCUGAGAAGGAGGGAGUGCUCGUGGUCUAUUCGUGCUGGAGCGCUAAUAAUAACCAGGGCGUGCUCGCAGGCGGGAGCCCUGAACCACUUCCAUUUGUCACGAGCUGUUAACAAAUUGCAACAAAAAAGCGGUGAAUGCGAAAAUCCAACGUUUUCCGGGUUUGACGAGUGCCAACUUUACGCUUAAGCUAUCGAAUUGCUGUGUCACAGAUUGACUUGGAGGCUAAAUAUUCAUACAACCACGGCAAUAGAUAUGAUGUAACGCCUCGCUGACAAGAAAAAAACACGUUUGAAUCAAAGUACUAUCUUGGGAUGAGUCAUCGCAUCAACUAAUGUUCACUUCGAAGGGAUACAACUCUUCAAGAAAAGUCUAUCUUUGUUAUGGGUUAUCGAAUCUGGUUUUGUUUCAUUGCUGUGCUCGUGACUCUUGACUCACUGAAGGGGUCACCAAUUGGGACUAAUCAUUCUGAGUUGGAUCCACCAGAUGUCAUUGUUAAGGGUAGCUUCGUGUACAAUGCUUUGAACCUAUUCCCAAAGAACACACAACAGGAGCUGAAAUCUUUGGAGCAGCGACUGAGUGCCCUAGAAAAACCAAAAGUUGACGUUUUACAGUUGACGUUGACACCGCACGCGUUGCAAAGCAAGUCGCCAAAGCAGCGUUAAAACGACCGUUGGCAACAAAGCGGCUAGGGAAAAAAGUUAAGGAGACUUCGCAUGUUUUAUUCCUCGCUUUUAUUAUCUUUUUUUUAAAUUUGUCCUUUUUUUAGCGGCCCACACGUACGCUUGAAAUUCGAUCUUAAUAUGUUAGUUAUUACCGUUAAUGCACUUUACACCCCAAAGUCACACACAGUACGCUUGGGCUGCCUGUGGAACAAACGACCAGACACACCUCAUGUGUGGGUGCCCUGUGGUCAGAUGCGCUUCGAUAUUUGAAUGCCGUAGUAAGGGAAAAAGGAUUAUGCGUACCUACAAAGCGAUUUAGCCAGAAUAGAUGGUAAAACCGAGCGGCUCUCGGAUUGAUGCAGCGUAAUUUGGAAACUUUAGCCGCGGGAACGGGUAGGUAUUAGUAAAGCACUCUCGCGGGUGGAAAUUUGAAGGAGAUUGGUCGACUUUUGUGGAAUUUAUCGGCCUUCGAGUGGGGACGGUUGGUGUUUGGAACCGGUUGAAGUUUCCAGUCUUGUGUUUUUAUACAUACAGUUGACUUGAAGCAACAGAUGCACGCGUUACAAAGAAAGUCGCCAAAACAGCGUUAACAAAAUCAACCUCGAAUUUGACUUCCGUUCCAAACUGUCUUUGCAGAUGAUGUGCUGUUGCAUAUAGAGAGUGGGGAACUGUGUGGUGCAGUGUUCUUAGAUUUGACCAAGGCAUUCGAUACCGUUGACCAUAAGAUCUUGUUAUAUAAAUUGUCGGCUAUCGGUGUCUCGCCCAGCACGCUACAGUGGUUCAAGUCCUACCUGAGUCAUCUUAAACAGCGGACCUCCUGUGGUGAUGCUAUGUCUGACCCUCUCCCGAUGACCUUAUGCUGAUGACACGGUCCUGUACUACUCUGCUAAGGAGCCACACCUGUUGGAAGAGGCACUGAAUGAUGAUCUCUUGCAAGUUGCCCAGUGGCUACAUGGAAAUAAGCUAACUUUGAAUCUUACUGAGACGAAAUCCAUGAUUAUAGGUAGUAAUAGGAAAGUUGUUGGUAUUUCCUCUUUCUCAUUAUCUAUUUUUGACACUGACAUAAAUUCUGUAACUAGUUUUAAAUAUUUGGGAGUUAUGUUGUCCUCAACUUUUACAUGGCCCGACCAUGUUGAGUAUAUUUCAUGUAAGGUUAAUAAGAACCUUGGUCUUUUACGUAGGAUUAAGUAUUAUUUACCUAAUAAUGCUCGGUUACUUUUGUAUAAUAGCUUAGUGCUACCUAUUUUUGAUUAUACUGAUUUAGUCUGGGGUGACAAGGACAAUGUCACACUAAGGAAGGAAUUACAAAUUCUGCAAAACAAAGCAGCUAAGUUGAUAUUGGAUAGAUCACUUCCGCUCCUCAUCCACUGAUGCAUUAACAGUCUUGAGAUGGCUGAAUCUUGAAGAACGUAGGAAAUGUCAUCGAUGUAUAUAUGCAUACAAGUGUAUUAAUGGCAAAAUUAAUCAUUCUUUGGACAUUGUAAGAAAGAGUGAUAUGCACUCCUACAAUACGCGCAAUAACGAUACUAUAAAGCUCCCCAAAAUCAAAUAUAAUUGGGGAAAACAUCGUUCGCGGUAUCACUGUUUCAAAUGAGUUAGAGAGAACUGUAAGAAACUCAGUAAGUUUUCCAAUUUUAACAUGACAACUUCUGCACUGUUUAAGUGUGUACCCACGUUUUGUGGGCCGAUUAAGUAUUCAUAUAUGCAAUCUAUUGUUUUUCUAAUUGAAUAUUCAUUAUUCGCGGCACGAACAAUUUCCGAAAAUGUAGCUAGCUUGCACGAUCGCAAGCGCUUUGAUGUUAGGUGUGAUAUAUCUCUUUUGUUUUCAGUUUCAUGCUCGAUUGAUGUUUUGACACACUAUUGUUUCGUUAAAGUUAACUUUAUAAUUAAAAGUGGAACACUAGAACUUUUAUCAUGCUAAAAGUGUAAGAUGAUGAUGCCAUAGCCAUUGCGUAGCAAAAAAAAUAUCGAAGGUUUUGGGUUCGCGAUUGAGUCCUCCAGGUCUGGUUUGCUCCACCAGGACUAAACUUCAGAAUACCCGGCCACUCAUUUACAUGUCAAUUAAUAAGAAUAGCAUCUAUUGUGUUAUGCUUCAUUC